rnacentral:rRNA from 1 species
CAAAGGUAGCAUAAUCAUUAGUUCCUUAAUUGGGAACUGGAAUGAAAGGUUGGACAAAGAAAAAGCUGUCUUUAGUUUCAAAUAUUUGAACUUUACUUUUAAGUGAAAAGGCUUAGAUAUGUUAGGAAGACGAUAAGACCCUAUAAAACUUUAUAUAUUUCUGUAGCUUAGUUGAUUUAAGUUGUAAAAACUGAUCUAGGGGGUUAUAUUUUGUUGGGGAGAUGUGAGUAUAAAUAAUUAUAACUGCUUAACUUGAAAACAGAAAUAUUUGAGUAGAGGCUGAAUGAUCCUUCUUAAAGAUUAAAAGAUCAAGUUACUUUAGGGAUAACAGCGUUAUUUCUUUUAAGAGCCCAUAUCGAAAAAGAAGUUUGCGACCUCGAUGUUGAAUUAAAAUUUCUAUAUAGUGCAGCUGCUAUAAAAGAAGGUCUGUUCGACCUUUAAAUUUUUACAUGAUUUGAGUUAA